GGAAGCAUAGCUCAGCUGGUUUAGAGCAUCUGCCUUACAAGCAGAGGGUCCGCGGUUCGAUCCCGUGUGCUUCCACAA
rnacentral:tRNA from 1 species